rnacentral:lncRNA from 1 species
UUUUUAACAAAGGUUGCAAAAAUUUAGCUGCUCUUUUUAGAAUCACAAUUUUUAUUAAACUUUUCAACAAUAGCAAAAAAUAAGAGGGUGCAAGGCCUAAGGAGGAAAUCAAAGUGGUUACCCUCCAAAUCAAAAGUCCUAUGCAUCCCCAUUGUUUGCUAUAGUUGAAAGAUUUCAUAAAAACUGCAGUUGUUAAAAAGAGGGAGAAAAUCUUUACAAGUUUUGUUAAAAACCAUUUGGAAAGAGCAUAGCUUUUGCGGCAGAGAGAAUUUUGGUGAGAGCUUCCACUUGCAUCAGCUGAAUUAUGAUCAUUGUGAGAAGUAGCUUUUGUGGUGAUGUUGCUUUUGUCUGAGUACAAAUUAACAGUUUGGAAUGAAAUCUUCAUCUGACUGCAUUCUUUGUCGACUACACGAUGAUAUACACAAGAUACCCAAAGGUGAGGUGACACAAGAUGGCCUAUAGAAAUGGCGUCACUAUCCACAAUGACAUUUAAUUUUAAAAAAGUCACAAGGUUCAUACUCAGGGGCAUUUUCUUCAAGGACAGCACAAAAAGCAAUCCAAAUUGACAUGGCACAUGAAGGAAUUCCACUCUGGAAGGCAAAUUUGCUUUUUUAGUAUGGGUGGGUUGAAAAGGUGAAGAAGGAAGAAUGUAUCCGAACGAAUGCAUCCGCAGAAAAAAUUACCCCUUUUUUAGAAAUCCCCUCGUCACCUACUAGUGAGCCGGAAGGCUUAGGGACGCCUCUCGUUCCUCUUCCCCCAUUUGACAACCGUAUCUCAGAAUGUUCGGAUGAUUCUCUGGAACUAAUAUAUGCUUCAAUACUAAAGAAUGGGGAUAUCUCGUUGGGAAAAAGCGGAAGAAAAGGAUUUCACGGGCAGAAAGGCGAAGGGAAGUUCGGAAAAGCCUAGCAGACGGGACUAUCAACCCCUUUCUAUUAAGACCUCGGCACCUUCCUUACCCCCCCUACUAAAAAAUUUCCCCUAUUUUGAAGCCCAGGUUCCGCAUCUUAAAAAGUGCAUGACCUGAUUGGAAGCACUGAGGUUAAUUCGCAAUGGGCCAACUCACCCGGCCAUGAUGUGCAUGACAGAAGAGAGAGAGCAUAAAAUGGAGUUUCCCCCUUGGGUGAGGCUCGCGUCCAGAAAGAAUAUUUUUCAAGACUUUCUCCCCUAUGUUGAACUUUCUCGUCUAUUUCAAAAUGCGGCAUAGCGAGCUUCGGUCCCAGCCCGCUGCUGUCUCCUGGAAUGGCCCGCUCUUUGACAUGGCACAAUUAAGGAAUCACCUACACUUUGAUUAUUGAACCACUCUGGAAUUCUACUUCCAGGUGUUACAAUUUGGAAAGUGGGAAUUCCACUUCCAGUUACCUGUAUACCAUACCAUGUAUAGGUUAGUAACUUGAUUAUUUAUUUAUUAAUAUAGCAAACAAAGAGAGGCAGAGAGACAGAGAGACAGAGAGAGAACCUGAGGGAAUCUCCAAUCCAGAGCAGUCCAGAGCAUUCCAAGUAUUAUACUAUCAUCGCAGCCUUCAUUCUUAACCAAUCCAGAGCAAUUCAAACAGCUCAACCAAAC